CAAUUUUGCCAGAAGUGCUGGAGAAAUAGUUACAGACACUGCAAAGGAUAAAAUUGGUCCCUUAGAGAAUCAGAGUGGACAGCUAUGUGUGGAGCCAAAAGAGGGAUGUGCCAGAUCUGCUGAGCUCUUCCAGAAUUUUGUGCAUGUUACAUUUGAGUACUUCCAAAGUUUCUCACUCUGGGAAACUGUACGUCACAGCUUUCUUCCUCAGCCCAUCAUUUAACACAAAAAUGGAAAAGCAUUGCGGACUUACUUGCUGCCUGUUGGGAAACAGAGAGGAAUCACAGAAUCAAUUGGCUCACAAAUGAGCCCCCUGUCCCAAGUUGUCCAUGCAAACAAGAUGUACAGUAAAG